rnacentral:rRNA from 1 species
CAUGAAGUCGGAAUUGCUGUAAUCGCGGAUCAGCAUGCCGCGGUGAAUACGUUCCCGGGCCUUGUACACACCGCCCGUCACACCAUGGGAGCCGGUAAUACCCGAAGUCAGUAGUCCAACCUCGUGAGGACGCUGCCGAAGGUAGGAUUGGCGACUGGGGUGAAGUCGUAACAAGGUAGC